UCGCCGCAGGCGGCUACGGCAGCUCGAGCGGAGGCGGCAGCUAUGGCGGCGGGAGGAGGUUUUAACACCCAGGAAACAAAGCUUAGCAGGAGAGGAGAGCCAGAGAAAGGACAGGGAAGCUGCAGGUUACAACAGUUGUGAACUCAGCCAAAUCACAGUUGUGGCAGGGGGUAGCUGCUACAUGAAGACAUGUAUUAGACAAAGUCUCCUUUGCGAACAGGACUGUAUUUGUGACUAAUUGUAUAACAGGUUAUUUUAGUUUCUGUGCCGUGGAAGCAUUCCUACGAGGGCUCCCGGGAGCCUCGGUUUUAUUUGCGCACCCGUGCUGUCGAUUGCUAACUGUAACAGAUCAUGACGCUGAAUAAAUGUGUCUUUUUUUUUAA